rnacentral:rRNA from 1 species
AUGAGCCUGGCCCUGGGCAACGCCACCCUCAAGGUCCCCGUCGCUGGCGUCGGGGCCUUCCACGCGCUCACGGACCUCGUGCUCAGGCUGGCCAGGAUCGACCCCAGCGGCGCGGACGAGCACAAUCUCGGCCGCAUGCUGUCCUCGUCGUGCUGCCCGCGGCUGCGGCGCCUCCAGCUGGAGUACAUCGUCGGGAUUGCCACGCUCCGUCUGGACGCCGCCGACACUCUCGAGGACCUCCGGCUGGAGAGCCUCCCGGACAUGUUGUCGGUGGACGUGAACGCGCCAGGCCUCCGCGAGCUGCACAUUUUCCUUCCCGAGGAGGCCGCGGCCACAAGGGUCUCAGCCCCGAGGCUAGAGAUGGUGUCCUGCUCCGGCACCUCGGACCACCUACCGCUGGAGCUCGCCGGUGGGGCAUCAGCUAACGUCCGGCGUCUGCAAAGCCUCGGACUAUGGUCGCAUGGCCAUCCCCCGGGCCACCCAGAGGGAUACAUCAAUGCCGGCGUCGUGUGGCUGCUGGAGCAAUGCUCUGCCGCGGAGAGCCUGAAUGUGAACAUAUCCCCGCCGUUCUGCGAGGAGAUGGGCAGCGAAGAGAUAAUGAGCCUCAUGCCGGCGCUCCCCAAUGUCACCGACCUGGAGAUAGAAAUAACCAUGUCAUCAGGCCACCGCUUUGGUGCCAGCGUCGCCAGGUUCAUCCGCCAAUGCAGCAACGUCCGACUACUCUCCGUUGAUGUCAAAGACACGUACUACACACUGUGCACCAACCCUAGAUGCUUCUGCGGUUCAGAUUGCGAGGGGAACGUGGAGAUGUCGCUGCCACACCUCAUAGAAGCCAAGGUCUCCGGCGUGCGCCCGGUGGAGGAUCACAUGAACCUGGUGCGGCGGCUGGUGACGAGCGCGCCAAUGCUAGAGAGGAUGACCGUAGAGUUUGAGUCGUGGUCGCCGUCUUGGAAGAAGGAUAGAGGCUAUAGGGUUGUUGUCAAGGAUGACCUCCCAGCCUGUGAUGGAGCGCGCUGGAUUUGCUUGGAUCCGGUCGUAGUUUGGAUACGUUUGUGUGUGUUCAAGUUGGAUCCUUUUGAUCUACGCUACUCUUCAAUAGCGAUGGUUGCUGUUCUGGUUCGCUAG